AAGGUUCGAUUCUGGCUCAGGAUGAACGCUAGCUACAGGCUUAACACAUGCAAGUCGAGGGGCAGCAUUAUCGAAGCUUGCUUGAUAGAUGGCGACCGGCGCACGGGUGAGUAACGCGUAUCCAACCUUCCCAUCACUCAGGGAUAGCCCGCCGAAAGGCGAAUUAAUACCUGAUGGUCUCCUUCGCGGACAUCUAACGAGGAGUAAAGAUUCAUUGGUGAUGGAUGGGGAUGCGUCUGAUUAGGUAGUAGGCGGGGUAACGGCCCACCUAGCCUACGAUCAGUAGGGGUUCUGAGAGGAAGGUCCCCCACAUUGGAACUGAGACACGGUCCAAACUCCUACGGGAGGCAGCAGUGAGGAAUAUUGGUCAAUGGACGGAAGUCUGAACCAGCCGAGUAGCGUGCAGGAUGACGGCCCUAUGGGUUGUAAACUGCUUUUGUGCGGGAAUAAAGUAUGGGACGUGUCCCGUUUUGCAUGUACCGCACGAAUAAGGACCGGCUAAUUCCGUGCCAGCCGCCGC
rnacentral:rRNA from 1 species